rnacentral:rRNA from 1 species
AUUGAACGCUGGCGGCAGGCCUAACACAUGCAAGUCGAGCGAGCGGCGGACGGGUGAGUAAUGUCUGGGAAACUGCCUGAUGGAGGGGGAUAACUACUGGAAACGGUAGCUAAUACCGCAUACCAUCAGAUGUGCCCAGAUGGGAUUAGCUUGUAGGUGGGGUAAUGGCUCACCUAGGCGACGAUCCCUAGCUGGUCUGAGAGGAUGACCAGCCACACGGGAAAUGAGACACGGUCCAGACUCCUACGGGAGGCAGCAGGUGGGAAUAUUGCACAAUGGGCGCAAGCCUGAUGCAGCCAUGCCGCGUGUGUGAAGAAGGCCUUCGGAUUGUAAAGCACUUUCAGCGAGGAGGCGUUACUCACAGAAGAAGCACCGGCUAACUCCGUGCCAGCAGCCGCGGUAAUAC